ACCAAAUCAUGCCUGUAAUUCUAGCUGCUCAGGAGGCUUAGGCAAGAAGAUUGCAAGUUCAACACCAGCCUCAGCAACUUAGUGAGGCCAUAGGCACUUAAUGAGACCCUAUCUCUAAAUAAAAAUUUUUUUAAAACUGGGGAUGUGGUUCAGUGGUUUAGCACCCCUGAGUUCAAUUCCAGAUACCCAAAAAAAUAAAAAUAAAAAAGUAAAAGUGCUCUGAGUAGAUUAGGAGUCAGCAGAUCUUUCAUUCUCGAAACUAGACACACAAAAAAGUAAAAAAUAAUUAAUUUGGAAGGAAACAGCCCCAAGACCCUUGUAUUUUUACCUAAAAGAUAAUCUUCUAACUAGUGAACUAAUUAAUUUCUAAGACCUUGUUAAUGACCUAUGGACAAUUUAAAACAAAUGCGUAGAUGUCCUGUGUGGUUAGCAAUCAGGAUGGGGAACUCUCUCAGGUGUCUUCCUGCAUAUGAAUGUCACCUCUUCUGCAAGCUCUACCUUAUGCAUCUGGUUACACAUAAACACAUCUACAUUUUCAUGCAUCAGUGGUUAAGACCUCACCUGGGGGUACAAUUGUAAUUUUCAUCGUUGCCUGAGCUUUUGAGGAAAAGAACUGGCUAAAGUUAGCUCCCAGCUAUGAACAAGAGGGAAAAAAAAUCUUUUGAGCAUGGAAAUCAUAAUCCUCUGCAAGAUAUCUGUUUCAGGGGAUGUUAUUUUGUCAGUUGUUUUUUCUUGGGAAUUUUCUAGGCAAAACCCUCCUCCCUCGAUUUGCUUUUGUUUUCUUGUCCUUUCUCAUUUCAAACAAACAAUGAGAGGGAGGAAACAAACAUGUCCCCAAGGGUAUACGUGGUGCCAUUUGGAAACACAUGUAGCAGGAGGCAUCUUUUUAAUCCCUGAAUUAAUUGCACCUCUUUAAUAUGCCACCCACUUUGGGGGCAAAAUUAUGUUGCACAAAUGGUUUUAAAAACCAAAAUGAAGUGAAAAAUUAAGGUGGUUAAGAGAAGAAACUAUAGCAAUAAAUUCUGAUUGAGAAGAAUGAGAGCAAUUAAACUUAACUUCUGAGCUGCCCACCAACCUAGAAAAAGAAAACAGGGGUGACAGAAUUCUUUUUGUGUGAUUUUUAGGGAACUGCUCCUCAGGAGGAACAAACCUUUGCCCAGCACUUGAUUCUAAAGGAAAUUUGUCAAGGAGUCUUUGUUUGAAGACUUUGGAAAAUCGAUCAAAAACAACUUUUAAAAGCAAGAAGAAAGCAUUUUUCUAUAAUAGGACAAUUUCUUAUAUCCACCGUUGGUAAAAUCCAAGUGUGCAGGGUUUAUUCCCAGUUCUGUCAAGGUGACUCUCUGGAAUAAUUGCCACCUAUUGGUACCCAUGGGUUGGCUUUUGCCAUGAAUGGUAAGUCAUGUAGUUAUAAAGGACAGGUUUGGCGAAUAGCUUCAUUCACAGUAAACUCACGGGCUCAAUAUAACUGGUCUUUUGUUAACUUCAUACAUCUGGGAUGCACAGCUUUAUCUCACAGAAAACUCCAGCACUAAAAUGAUCAAGUCCAGAAGCAAUAAUUUCAUGUAGAACUGAGGAUCAGAAGUAAUCAGGAACCCUUGCAUGGGAACUGUCACAUGGCGUCCAGCUAUUUAAUACUUUUGCUGAGGUUGAGUGUGGCUUUGUUUAGAAUGUGAGAUCAGCAUGCACAGGCCCUUGGUUCAGACUUCAGCACCCACCACCAACAACAAUAAAAUCCAAUGAAUAUAAUAAAAGAGUUUUUUAAAAAUA
rnacentral:lncRNA from 1 species